UGAGGGAUAUUGGUCAAUGGGCGCAAGCCUGAACCAGCGACGCCGCGUGGGAGAAGAAGGUCUUCGGAUCGUAAAGCCCUUUUCCCACUGAAGAGGAAGGACGGUAGGUGGGGAAGAAGUCUCGGCUAACUACGUGCCAGCAGCCGCGGUAAAACGUAGGAGACAAGCGUUAUCCGGAGUUACUGGGCGUAAAGGGCGUGCAGGUGGCGUCUUAAGUCUGUUGUGAAAGCGCCUGGCUUAACCGGGCGAGGCCAAUGGAGACUGAGAGGCUGGAGGACGGCGGAGGGGUGUGGAAUUCCGGGUGUAGUGGUGAAAUGCGUAGAGAUCCGGAGGAACACCAGAGGCGAAGGCGGCACUCUAAGCCGUACCUGACACUGAGACGCGACAGCACGGGGAGCAAACG
rnacentral:rRNA from 1 species